AGCAAUCGAUGAUGUAAAUCAUUAUCAUUCCUGAUUUAUUUAUAACGAUUAUAUAACAGUCACCUUCUUUCGGCUGAGAUUGCU